rnacentral:rRNA from 1 species
GCUAUCAGGGUUUGACUAAGCCAUGCGAGUCGAGAGGUGUAAGACCUCGGCAUACUGCUCAGUAACACGUGGAUAAUCUGCCCUCAGGUGAGGAAUAAUCCCGGGAAACUGGGGCUAAUGCCUCAUAGGAGACGGGUGCUGGAAUGCUCUGUCUCCCAAAGGUCCGCCGCCUGAGGAUGAGUCUGCGUCCGAUUAGGUUGUUGUUGGGGUAACGGCCCAACAAGCCAUUGAUCGGUACGGGUUGUGGGAGCAAGAGCCCGGAGAUGGAUUCUGAGACAUGAAUCCAGGCCCUACGGGGCGCAGCAGGCGCGAAAACUUUACAAUGCGAGCAAUCGUGAUAAGGAAACCCUGAGUGCCUGUCAAUGCAGGCUGUUCUGGUGUCUAACACGCACCAGGAGAAAGGGCGGGGCAAGACCGGUGCCAGCCGCCGCGGUAAUACCGGCUGCUCGAGUGAUAGCCGCUUUUACUGGGCUUAAAGCGUUCGUAGCUUGGUUGUCAAGUCUCUGGGGAAAUCUUCUGGCUUAACCAGAAGGCGUCUCAGGGAAACUGGCGACCUAGGAACCGGGAGAGGUGAGACGUACUUCGGGGGUAGGAGUGAAAUCUUGUAAUCCCCGAGGGACGACCGAUGGCGAAGGCAUCUCACCAGAACGGCUUCGACAGUGAGGGACGAAAGCUGGGGGAGCAAACCGGAUUAGAUACCCGGGUAGUCCCAGCCGUAAACGAUGUGCGUUAGGUGUGUCGGUGACCACGAGUCGCCGAGGUGCCGAAGGGAAACCGUGAAACGCACCGCCUGGGAAGUACGGUCGCAAGGCUGAAACUUAAAGGAAUUGGCG